rnacentral:tRNA from 1 species
AGGGGCAUAGCUUAAUCGGCAGAGUACCGGUCUCCAAAACCGAUGGUGAGGGUUCGAUUCCUUCUGCCCCUG